rnacentral:rRNA from 1 species
AUUGAACGCUGGCGGCAUGCCUUACACAUGCAAGUCGAACGGUAACAGGUCUUCGGAUGCUGACGAGUGGCGAACGGGUGAGUAAUACAUCGGAACGUGCCCGAGAGUGGGGGAUAACGAGGCGAAGGCUUUGCUAAUACCGCAUACGAUCUCAGGAUGAAAGCAGGGGACCGCAAGGCCUUGCGCUCACGGAGCGGCCGAUGGCAGAUUAGGUAGUUGGUGGGAUAAAAGCUUACCAAGCCGACGAUCUGUAGCUGGUCUGAGAGGACGACCAGCCACACUGGGACUGAGACACGGCCCAGACUCCUACGGGAGGCAGCAGUGGGGAAUUUUGGACAAUGGGCGCAAGCCUGAUCCAGCCAUGCCGCGUGCAGGAUGAAGGCCUUCGGGUUGUAAACUGCUUUUGUACGGAACGAAAAGACUCUGGUUAAUACCUGGGGUCCUUGACGGUACCGUAAGAAUAAGCACCGGCUAACUACGUGCCAGCCGCCGCCGUAACAC